ACUGAACGAGACCUUAACCUACUAAAUAGUGGUGCUAGCAUUUGCUGGUUAUCCACUUCUUAGAGGGACUAUCGGUUUCAAGCCGAUGGAAGUUUGAGGCAAUAACAAGUCUGUGAUGCCNUUAGACGUUCUGGGCNGCACGCGCGCUACACUGACGGAGCCAGCGAGUCUAACCUUGGCCGAGAGGUCUUGGUAAUCUUGUGAAACUCNNNNGUGCUGGGGAUAGAGCAUUGUAAUUAUUGCUCUUCAACGAGGAAUUCCUAGUAAGCGCAA
rnacentral:rRNA from 1 species